UACGAAGGGUGCAAGCGUUACUCGGAAUUACUGGGCGUAAAGCGUGCGUAGGCGGUCUGUCGCGUCUGCUGUGAAAUCCCGGGGCUCAACCCCGGGCUUGCAGUGGAUACGGGCAGACUAGAGUUCGGUAGGGGAGACUGGAAUUCCUGGUGUAGCGGUGAAAUGCGCAGAUAUCAGGAGGAACACCGGUGGCGAAGGCGGGUCUCUGGGCCGAUACUGACGCUGAGGAGCGAAAGCGUGGGGAGCGAACAGG
rnacentral:rRNA from 1 species